AGCGAACGCUGGCGGCAGGCUUAACACAUGCAAGUCGAGCGGGCGUAGCAAUACGUCAGCGGCAGACGGGUGAGUAACGCGUGGGAACGUACCUUUUGGUUCGGAACAACACAGGGAAACUUGUGCUAAUACCGGAUAAGCCCUUACGGGGAAAGAUUUAUCGCCGAAAGAUCGGCCCGCGUCUGAUUAGCUAGUUGGUGAGGUAACGGCUCACCAAGGCGACGAUCAGUAGCUGGUCUGAGAGGAUGAUCAGCCACAUUGGGACUGAGACACGGCCCAAACUCCUACGGGAGGCAGCAGUGGGGAAUAUUGGACAAUGGGGGCAACCCUGAUCCAGCCAUGCCGCGUGAGUGAUGAAGGCCCUAGGGUUGUAAAGCACUUUUGUGCGGGAAGAUAAUGACGGUACCGCAAGAAUAAGCCCCGGCUAACUUCGU
rnacentral:rRNA from 1 species